GGCUCAGGAUGAACGCUAGCUACAGGCUUAACACGUGCAAGUCGAGGGGCAUCAGGAAGAAAGCUUGCUUUCUUUGCUGGCGACCGGCGCACGGGUGAGUAACACGUAUCCAACCUGCCCUUUACUCGGGGAUAGCCUUUCGAAAGAAAGAUUAAUACCCGAUAGCAUAAUGAUUCCGCAUGGUUUCAUUAUUAAAGGAUUCCGGUAAAGGAUGGGGAUGCGUUCCAUUAGGUUGUUGGUGAGGUAACGGCUCACCAAGCCUUCGAUGGAUAGGGGUUCUGAGAGGAAGGUCCCCCACAUUGGAACUGAGACACGGUCCAAACUCCUACGGGAGGCAGCAGUGAGGAAUAUUGGUCAAUGGGCGCUAGCCUGAACCAGCCAAGUAGCGUGAAGGAUGAAGGCUCUAUGGGUCGUAAACUUCUUUUAUAUAAGAAUAAAGUGCAGUAUGUAUACUGUUUUGUAUGUAUUAUAUGAAUAAGGAUCGGCUAACUCCGUGCCAGCAGCCGCGGUAAUACGGAGGAUCCGAGCGUUAUCCGGAUUUAUUGGGUUUAAAGGGAGCGUAGGUGGACUGGUAAGUCAGUUGUGAAAGUUUGCGGCUCAACCGUAAAAUUGCAGUUGAUACUGUCAGUCUUGAGUACAGUAGAGGUGGGCGGAAUUCGUGGUGUAGCGGUGAAAUGCUUAGAUAUCACGAAGAACUCCGAUUGCGAAGGCAGCUCACUGGACUGCAACUGACACUGAUGCUCGAAAGUGUGGGUAUCAAACAGGAUUAGAUACCCUGGUAGUCCACACAGUAAACGAUGAAUACUCGCUGUUUGCGAUAUACAGUAAGCGGCCAAGCGAAAGCAUUAAGUAUUCCACCUGGGGAGUACGCCGGCAACGGUGAAACUCAAAGGAAUUGACGGGGGCCCGCACAAGCGGAGGAACAUGUGGUUUAAUUCGAUGAUACGCGAGGAACCUUACCCGGGCUUAAAUUGCAGUGGAAUGAUGUGGAAACAUGUCAGUGAGCAAUCACCGCUGUGAAGGUGCUGCAUGGUUGUCGUCAGCUCGUGCCGUGAGGUGUCGGCUUAAGUGCCAUAACGAGCGCAACCCUUAUCUUUAGUUACUAACAGGUUAUGCUGAGGACUCUGGAGAGACUGCCGUCGUAAGAUGUGAGGAAGGUGGGGAUGACGUCAAAUCAGCACGGCCCUUACGUCCGGGGCUACACACGUGUUACAAUGGGGGGUACAGAAGGCAGCUACCUGGUGACAGGAUGCUAAUCCCAAAAGCCUCUCUCAGUUCGGAUCGAAGUCUGCAACCCGACUUCGUGAAGCUGGAUUCGCUAGUAAUCGCGCAUCAGCCACGGCGCGGUGAAUACGUUCCCGGGCCUUGUACACACCGCCCGUCAAGCCAUGGGAGCCGGGGGUACCUGAAGUACGUAACCGCAAGGAGCGUCCUAGGGUAAAACU
rnacentral:rRNA from 1 species